AUUCUCCUACUUUUUACUUAGGCAUUUCUUUAUUUUAUUUUGUUUAUUUUUAUAUUUUAUUAUGUUUUCAUAUUUUAUUUUAUUUUUAGUUUAAUUUAAUUUUCGCACUUAUUUUUCAGCUUUAGCAGUCUGCGCGGAAACGAUCAUAACUGGAGUUCCGGGAAUCCGUUUGAGGCGUUCUAAAAAUCGCCGGAAAGCUAAGAGAGAG
rnacentral:lncRNA from 1 species